GACGAUAAAAGCCAAACCUGUCGCGAGAUGGGGACGGAAAGCUAAGGGUCUUUUUAUUUAGUCAUAUAAAGAAAGCCGAGUUGCAAAC
rnacentral:ncRNA from 1 species